GUCCUCCUUGAUUCAUGGAUGAAACCUGGAACAUCUUGAGGACUGAGUUAACCAUAGGUCCUUAAAUAACUCUCCACACGUUUUUCUUAGUUUAUCUCUACAUGCAGGGUGUGCAGCAGCCUGUUCAAAGUCAUAUUUUCUGGGAAAUAUUUCCAGUGUUUAUUUGCACUUUAGCCCACUCUGUGUAGCCUUAUUUCUUCUAAACUCACCAUUAACCUGAAUAAUAGUCAAAUUUAGGGGGACUGUAUUUGCCUUACUUGAGUCUUCUACCAUAGUUGAAACUGUCGUACCCGAGUGAGUUAGAGAGAAAUGCCACGCAUUGAGACGAAUUCAGGAGUCCUUUACUAGCCAGCGACUGAGACAUGGCUAACGCACGAAAUUCUCUCGGCCCUGAAGAAGGGACUA
rnacentral:lncRNA from 1 species